GGAUGAGCCCGCGGCCUAUCAGCUUGUUGGUGAGGUAAUGGCUCACCAAGGCUUCGACGGGUAGCCGGCCUGAGAGGGUGACCGGCCACACUGGGACUGAGACACGGCCCAGACUCCUACGGGAGGCAGCAGUGGGGAAUAUUGGACAAUGGGCGGAAGCCUGAUCCAGCAACGCCGCGUGAGGGAUGACGGCCUUCGGGUUGUAAACCUCUUUCAGCACAGACGAAGCGCAAGUGACGGUAUGUGCAGAAGAAGGACCGGCCAACUACGUGACAGCAGCCGCGGCCG
rnacentral:rRNA from 1 species